rnacentral:rRNA from 1 species
GACGAACGCUGGCGGCGUGCUUAACACAUGCAAGUCGAACGGAAAGGCCCUGCUUGCAGGGUGCUCGAGUGGCGAACGGGUGAGUAACACGUGGGUGAUCUGCCCCUUACUUUGGGAUAAGCCUGGGAAACUGGGUCUAAUACUGGAUAGGACCAUGCUGUAGGUGGUGUGGUGGAAAGAUUUUUUCGGUAAGGGAUGAGCUCGCGGCCUAUCAGCUUGUUGGUGGGGUAAUGGCCUACCAAGGCGUCGACGGGUAGCCGGCCUGAGAGGGUGGACGGCCACAUUGGGACUGAGAUACGGCCCAGACUCCUACGGGAGGCAGCAGUGGGGAAUAUUGCACAAUGGGCGCAAGCCUGAUGCAGCGACGCCGCGUGGGGGAUGACGGCCUUCGGGUUUUAAACUCCUUUCAGCCAUGACGAAGCCUCUUUUGGGGUGACGGUAGUGGUAGAAGAAGCACCGGCUAACUACGUG